GACAGAGGGUGCGAACGUUGUUCGGAAUUACUGGGCGUAAAGCGCAUGUAGGCGGCAGCGCAAGUCGGGCGUGAAAUCCCACGGCUCAACCGUGGAAGUGCACUCGAAACUGCGCAGCUAGAGUCCUGGAGAGGAAGGUGGAAUGCUUGGUGUAGAGGUGAAAUUCGUAGAUAUCAGGAGGAACACCGAUGGCGAAGGCAGCUCGCUGGGACGGUACUGACGCUGAGGCGCGAAAGCGUGGGGAGCAAACAGGG
rnacentral:rRNA from 1 species